rnacentral:tRNA from 1 species
UCCCUGGCUGUCCUGUAGUUAGGACUCUACACUUUCACUGCAGGGGGUAUGGGUUCAAUCCCUGUUCAGGGAA